GAUGAAGAACGUAGCGAAAUGCGAUAAGUAAUGUGAAUUGCAGAAUUCAGUGAAUCAUCGAAUCUUUGAACGCACAUUGCGCCCCCCAGUAUUCUGGCGGGCAUGCCUGUUCGAGCGUCAUUUCAACCAUCAAGCCCUGCUUGUGUUGGGGUCCUGCGGCUGCCCGCAGGCCCUGAAAACCAGUGGCGGGCUCGCUAGUCACACCGAGCGCAGUAGCACAUCUCGCUCAGAGCGUGCGGCGGGCUCCAGCCGUUAAAGCACCCACCUUUCGCAAGGUUGACCUCGGAUCAGGUAGGAAUACCCGCUGAACUUAAGCAUAUCAAUAAGCGGAGGA
rnacentral:misc_RNA from 1 species